rnacentral:rRNA from 1 species
CAAUACUUUGAUGGCGACCGGCGCACGGGUGAGUAACACGUAUGCAACCUACCUACAUCAGGGGAAUAACCCGGAGAAAUUCGGACUAAUACCGCAUAAUACAGGGAUGCCGCAUGGUAAUAUUUGUUAAAGAUUUAUCGGAUGUAGAUGGGCAUGCGUUCCAUUAGCUAGUUGGUAAGGUAACGGCUUACCAAGGCAACGAUGGAUAGGGGAACUGAGAGGUUUGUCCCCCACACUGGAACUGAGACACGGACCAGACUCCUACGGGAGGCAGCAGUGAGGAAUAUUGGUCAAUGGACGAGAGUCUGAACCAGCCAAAUCGCGUGAAGGAAGACUGCCCUACGGGUUGUAAACUUCUUUUGUACAGGAAUAAAAGACAUUACGUGUAAUGUAUUGCAUGUACUGUACGAAUAAGCAUCGGCUAACUCCGUGCCAGCAGCCGCGGUAAUACGGAGGAUGCGAGCGUUAUCCGGAUUUAUUGGGUUUAAAGGGUGCGCAGGCGGGAUUUUAAGUCAGCGGUGAAAUUUUCAGGCUCAACCUGAACACUGCCGUUGAAACUGGGAUUCUUGAGUAUGGAUGAAGUAGGCGGAAUUCGUUGUGUAGCGGUGACAUGCUUAGAUAUAACGAGGAACUCCGAUUGCGUAGGCAGCUUACUAAGCCAUAACUGACGCUCAAG